UCCCUGGCAGCCCAGUGGUUAAGACUCUGCUCUUCCAAUGCAGGGGGCACAGGUUCAAUCCCUGGUCAGGGAA
rfam:Ovis aries breed Texel chromosome 14, whole genome shotgun sequence.